UACGUAGGUGGCAAGCGUUGUCCGGAAUUACUGGGUGUAAAGGGAGCGUAGGCGGUUAUGCAAGUUGAAUGUGAAAUCUAUCGGCUCAACUGAUAGGCUGCGUUCAAAACUGUAUAUCUUGAGUGAAGUAGAGGUAGGCGGAAUUCCUAGUGUAGCGGUGAAAUGCGUAAAUAUUAGGAGGAACACCAGUGGCGAAGGCGGCCUGCUGGGCUUUAACUGACGCUGAGGCUCGAAAGCGUGGGUAGCAAACAGG
rnacentral:rRNA from 1 species